AACGAACGCUGGCGGCGUGUCUUAAGCAUGCAAGUCGAGCGGCAAGGGUAGCAAUACCCCUAGAGCGGCGGACUGGUGAGUAACACGUGGGUGAUCUACCUCGGGGAUGGGGAUAGCCAUUAGAAAUAGUGGGUAAUACCGAAUACGUUAGCAAGCUUGCGAGCUUGUUAAGAAAGGCGCUACGGCGCCACCCUGAGAUGAGCCCGCGCCCCAUUAGCUAGUUGGUGAGGUAACGGCCCACCAAGGCGAUGAUGGGUAGGCGGCCUGAGAGGGUGUACGCCCACACUGGGACUGAGAUACGGCCCAGACUCCUACGGGAGGCAGCAGCUAAGAAUAUUCCGCAAUGGACGAAAGUCUGACGGAGCGACGCCGCGUGGAUGAUGAAGGCCGGAAGAUUGUAAAAUCCUUUUGCCGGGGAAGAAUAAGCAUGGGAGGGAAUGCCCGUGUGAUGACAUGAACCGGCGAAUAAGCCCCGGCUAACUACGUGCCAGCAGCCGCGGUAAAG
rnacentral:rRNA from 1 species